GUCUUCUUGUUAUAUUUAGGAAGUCUGGCCUGCCCAGUGAAAAUAAUUUAACGGCCGCGGUAUACUGACCGUGCAAAGGUAGCAUAAUCAUUAGUCUUUUAAUAGAGGGCUGGUAUGAAGGGUUUAACGAGGUGUUGACUGUCUCAUUUAAUUUGAAUUUAGAAUUUAAUUUUUUAGUUAAAAAGCUAAAAUAUUAUUGGAAGACGAGAAGACCCUAUAGAGCUUUAUACUUUUACUAUUGAUUUAUUAUAGAUUAUUAUUAUUUAUUAUUAGUAGAAAGUAUUUUGUUGGGGUGACAAAAAUAUAUGAAUAACUUUUUUAUUUUAUUUACAUUGAUAUAUGAAUAUUAGAUCCAAUCUUAUUGAUUGUUAGAUUAAGUUACCUUAGGGAUAACAGCGUAAUCCCUCUCCAGAGUUCAUAUUUACAGAGGGGCUUGCGACCUCGAUGUUGGAUUAAGAUAAUAAUUAGGUGCAGCCGCUUAAUUAAUAGGUCUGUUCGACCUUUAAAUUCUU
rnacentral:rRNA from 1 species